rnacentral:rRNA from 1 species
AUGAACGCUGGCGGCGUGCCUAAUACAUGCAAGUCGAGCGAACAGACGAGGAGCUUGCUCCUCUGACGUUAGCGGCGGACGGGUGAGUAACACGUGGAUAACCUACCUAUAAGACUGGGAUAACUUCGGGAAACCGGAGCUAAUACCGGAUAAUAUAUUGAACCGCAUGGUUCAAUAGUGAAAGACGGUUUUGCUGUCACUUAUAGAUGGAUCCGCGCCGCAUUAGCUAGUUGGUAAGGUAACGGCUUACCAAGGCAACGAUGCGUAGCCGACCUGAGAGGGUGAUCGGCCACACUGGAACUGAGACACGGUCCAGACUCCUACGGGAGGCAGCAGUAUGGAAUCUUCCGCAAUGGGCGAAAGCUUGACGGAGCAACGCCGCGUGAGUGAUGAAGGUCUUCGGAUCGUAAAACUCUGUUAUUAGGGAAGAACAAAUGUGUAAGUAACUAUGCACGUCUUGACGGUACCUAAUCAGAAAGCCACGGCUAACUACGUG